rnacentral:rRNA from 1 species
AACAAACGCUGGCGGCGUGCCUAACACAUGCAAGUCGUACGAGAAAGGGUCCUUCGGGGCCUGAGUAAAGUGGCGCACGGGUGAGUAACGCGUGGAUAAUCUGCCCUUCAGUUGGGAAUAACUCAUCGAAAGGUGGGCUAAUACCGAAUAAUGCUGUGAGACCUCGGUUGAUCAGCCAAAGAGAGCCUCUGCUUGCAAGCCCUCGCUGAAGGAUGAGUCCGCGUACCAUUAGCUAGUUGGUAGGGUAAUGGCCUACCAAGGCGACGAUGGUUAGCUGGUCUGAGAGGAUGAUCAGCCACACUGGAACUGGGAAACGGUCCAGACUCCUCCGGGAGGCAGCAGUGAGGAAUCUUGCGCAAUGGGGGCAACCCUGACGCAGCAACGCCGCGUGAGUGAGGAAGGUCUUCGGAUCGUAAAGCUCUGUCGGAUGGAAAGAACCGCAUAGGGGUAAACAGCCCCUGUGUCUGACGGUACCAUCAAAGGAAGCACCGGCUAACUCCGUGCCAGCCGCCGCAGUAAUAC